rnacentral:rRNA from 1 species
AGUGAACGCUGGCGGUAGGCCUAACACAUGCAAGUCGAACGGCAGCACAGUAAGAGCUUGCUCUUACGGGUGGCGAGUGGCGGACGGGUGAGGAAUACAUCGGAAUCUACUUUUUCGUGGGGGAUAACGUAGGGAAACUUACGCUAAUACCGCAUACGACCUACGGGUGAAAGCAGGGGAUCUUCGGACCUUGCGCGAUUGAAUGAGCCGAUGUCGGAUUAGCUAGUUGGCGGGGUAAAGGCCCACCAAGGCGACGAUCCGUAGCGGGUCUGAGAGGAUGAUCAGCCACACUGGAACGGAAACAGGGUCCAGACUCAUACGGGAGGCCGCAGUGGGGAAUAUUGGACAAUGGGCGCAAGCCUGCUACAGCCCUGCCGCGUGGGUGAAGAAGGCCUUCGGGUUGUAAAGCCCUUUUGUUGGGAAAGAAAAGCAGAAGGUUAAUACCCCGCUGUUCUGACGGUACCCAAAGAAUAAGCACCGGCUAACUUCGUG